AUUAGAAAGUGAGACCGGAGACCAACGCCGUCCUGGGAUGGCUUAGCAUCACCCUGGAGGUUGUGGGGAGAGCCUGGAAAUGACUAGAUUUCCCUCAAGCUCUUUGAAUCUGGUCUCAGGUUUAUGCUGGGAGGCCUUUCCCACUACCCGACCAAGAAGCGAUUUACUGAACAAUGACCUCAUUUUACAUUUCACAAUAUGUGUGUCAUAUAAGCAGUCUGUGCUGCUGAACGGUUUCCUGUAAACAUUUACAAUGGUUUGAGGCACUGGGGCCAGUCCCCAGUAGUUCUGGGAAAGACUUUUUAGAAAACAAGAAGGAACCUCUGCCCCAACUGUACAUUGGACACUGCAGAGUAAUUAUACAGUAGAGGUCAGGCCCAGGGUGAUAAUUAGCCUUGGGGGUGCCAGAGGGCCUCCUCGCUUUUGCACUCCCAGCAAUUUUCUGGGAGGAGACAGAGCUGAGUUUCAGCAGGAUGGAGGCCUCUGGGUGUGAAACGCCCUCCGCUUCACACCGGGGGCCCAUGUGCCACAUGGACUAGACCUUGCUCCCAAAGCGUGGUCUCAGGAUCUACGGCAUCAGCAUCACCUGGGAGCUUACUGGAAAUGUAGGAUCUCACAAACCACUCGGAGCUACCAGUCAGAAUCUGCGUGUUAACAUCCUGGCGACUCAAAAGCACGUUACAUUUUAGGAAGUCAUGAACUAGAACGAAGGUGUCAGGACCUCACUUGAGAGGCAGCAGGGAAGCACCUGUGAGGCUGGCUCAGCCACUCAGUAAAACUCAGAACUAUAAACAUCCUGCCACUUCCAGGCAAACAUGGCUCCCGGCAGCUGUUGUCCAAAUACAACAUGAGCCAGAUGCCAUUCCAGAUCCCUAAUCCAGCUUUCAUCGGACCUAAUUCCCGACCACCUCUCAUGAGAGGGACCAGAGAGACUUGGAUGACAUUAGGAUUGCAUAACUACACUUCUCAUGAAGUUUCUUUCACC